rnacentral:tRNA from 2 species
GGGUCGGUGGCCGAGUCUGGCUGAAGGCGACAGUCUGUAAAACUGUUCUUUUUUGCACGCAGGUUCAAAUCCUGCUCGACCCACUA